GCGAAUGUGGUUAGUGGUUAGAACGUAGGCCUCGUAACCGAUAGGUUGCGGGAUCGAAUCCCGCUAGAGGCA
rnacentral:tRNA from 1 species